CUGGUUGAUUCUGCCAGUAGGCAUAUGCUCGUCUCUAAGAUUAAGCCAUGCAUGUCUGAGUUCAUACCUAGUAAAAGUGAGACUGCGAAAGGCUCAGUACAUCAGUUAUAGUUUAUUCGAUUGUGAAAUCCACAUGGAUAACCGUGGAAAAUCUAGAGCUAAUACAUGCGAAAAAUGACUGCAGUACUCGUGACUGUGGUUAUGCAUUUAUUAGAUUAGAACCAAUUAGUAGUGUAUGGUUGCUUGCAACUGUAUGCUGCUAUUGUGGUGAGUCUGGAUAACUGUGCCGAUCGUAUGGCCUUGAGCCGGCGACGUUUCGAUUAAAUUUCUGCCCUAUCAACUUGUUGGUAAGGUAGUGGCUUACCAAGGUGAUUACGGGUAACGGGGAAUCAGGGUUCGAUUCCGGAGAGGGAGCCCGAGAAAUGGCUACCACAUCCAAGGAAGGCAGCAGGCGCGCAAAUUACCCAAUCCAAACACUGGGAGGUGGUGACGAGAAAUACCAGGUCGUUCCCAAAAGGAUUCGACACUGGAAUGAGUGCAAUUUAAGCAUUUCAUCGAGUAACAACUGGAGGGCAAGUCUGGUGCCAGCAGCCGCGGUAACUCCAGCUCCAGUAGUGUAUCCUAACGUUGCUGCGGUUAAAACGCUCGUAGUUGAACAAGAGAGUAGCUUGGUGCGGGCGGGGAGUGUAAUUACGCAGAGUAAGUGUUGAUGUGUGUGAUGCUUGUCUUGGGGGUUAUUUUUAAUUCUCAAGCUUGUAUUGCAUGCAUUGGUUGCUGCUCUGUUGUAGCGCUUGUCGACCAUGCUGCCAGGUUACUUGUAAUGUUUCGUGAGAAUGGCGUAUGGCCUUAAUUGUGCUGUGCGUUGUAUCUUACGUAGUGUGCCUUGAAUAAAUCAGAGUGCUCAAAGCAAGCUCAUUGCUUGAAUGUUAAUAGCAUGGAACGAAUGUAUAGUGAAAGUGUAUGCAGAUGUAUGUUACUUGUAGCAUGCAUUUGUGUGCACAGCACCAACCGCGAAGCGGAACAUUGGUUGCCGUCUUCGGGUGAGGAUUAAGAGGGGCAUUUGGGGGCAUUAGUAUUUGGCCGCGAGAGGUGAAAUUCUUGGACCGGCCAAGGACUAACAAGUGCGAAAGCAUUUGCCAAGUAUGUUCCCAUUAAUCAAGAACGAAAGUGAGAGGUUCGAAGACGAUCAGAUACCGUCCUAGUUCUCACUGUAAACGAUGCCAACCCGGGAUCAGUUCGGAUGUAUCUUAUGUGGAUCCAGGUUGGUCCCCCUGGGAAACCUUGAGUUUUUAGGUUCCGGGGGGAGUAUGGUUGCAAGGCUGAAACUUAAAGGAAUUGACGGAAGGGCACCACCAGGAGUGGAGCCUGCGGCUUAAUUUGACUCAACACGGGAAAACUCACCUGGUCCUGACAUCGAUAGGAUUGACAGACUAAUAGAUCUUUCAUGAUACGGUGGGUGGUGGUGCAUGGCCGUUCUUAGUUCGUGGAGUGAUCUGUCAGGUUGAUUCCGGUAACGAACGAGACCACGGUCUUCAUUUGGGGAAUUGGAAAGUAAUUUGAGAUGAUUGCAAGUGUUGGUUGUGCAGCAGUAUUGGGCUGGCAGCAAUGUUGGUUUGAUGCUGUUGUGCAGUUAAUGUUUGUGAUUAGCUUUCGAAUUAAACUUUCUGAUUUGCGUGCAGCAAUGUGCGUGCCUAUGGAGAGACAGCCGGAUUGUAAGCCGGAGGAAGCGUGGCAAUAACAGGUCUGUGAUGCCCUUCGAUGUUCAGGGCUGCACGCGCGCUACAAUGAUGACAACAACGAGAGUCUGGACUGAAAAGUUCUGGGGAAUCUUGUUAAUUGUCAUCGUGAUGGGAAUUGAGCAUUGUAAUUGUUGCUCAUGAAAGAGGAAUUCCUUGUAAGCGCAACUCACUUAGGUUGUGCUGAACGCGUCUCUGCCCUUUGUACACACCGCCCGUCGCUACUACCGAGUGAAUGGUGUCAUGAUGUCUUGGGACUGGACGUUGUUGGCAGUGCAAACUGCGGACGAUGCUAGGAGCAAGACAGAAUGGCGCAAUUUCGAGGAAGUAAAAGU
rnacentral:rRNA from 1 species